ensembl:lncRNA
CUCUGGCAGAUGGAUCUGUUUAUUGGGAAAAGUUAAACAACUAACAGUAGUCAACAUUUAGUGGAUAUAUUCUCUAUUCCAGAUGCUUAUCUAAGCUUUACAAAUAUUAACUCAUUUAGUCCUCUCACUAACUCUAUGAGGCAGUUUUUAUUUUCAGAUAAGGAGACUGAGUCACAAAGAGGUUAAGCCCAAGACCACAUAGUUGUCAGAGACUGUGGCAGUGGCCAGGUUGUAGUGCCUUCUGAAAAGUACUGUACUACUUCCUGGAAUGACAGCAAAUGUUCUCACAACAGGUGUCCUUAUAAACAUGUUUUACACAUAAAUAGCUAAUUUAUAACAACCCUGUCAUUAGGUGGUUUUAUCUAGUAUCACGAAUGAAGUUCUAAAAUAAUUUUUGAAAUUUUAACAUGAAUUGUAAAAACAACAAGAACAAAACAAUUCUGGCAGGAAGACAGUAGAUCUCCUUGCUAUCCCUGACUCUCCUGUGAUUUCUUCCCACAGUGUUUCUAUGGAAGCUGAAUGGUGGGAUGAAGGUGUGGAGUGCUGUCUAGGGAGGGUCAAGGAGAACAGGAAAGUAGUCAUGUGUGGAUGUGAGAGUUGGACCAUAAAGAAGCGCCAAAGAAUUGAUGCUUUUGAACUGUGGUGUUGCAGAAGACUCUUGAGAGUCCCUUGGACUGCAAGGAGAUCAAACCAGUCAACCCUAAAGGAAAUCAACCCUGAAUAUUCAUUGGAAGGACUGAUGCUGAAGCUGAAGCUCCAAUACUUUGGCCACCUGGUGUGAUGAGCCAACUCAUUAGAAAAGAGGCUGAUGCUGGGAAAGAUUGGAGGCAGGAGGAGAAGCAGACGACAGAGGACAAGAUGGUUGGAUGGCAUCACUGACUCGAUGGACAUGAGCCUGAGCAAGCUUUAGGAGAUAGCAAAGGACAGGGAAGCCUGAAGUGCUGCAGUCCAUAGAGUCUCAAAGAGUUGGACACGACUGAGCAACUGAACAACAACAGGAAGCUACUAAACAUUGUAGUCCAACUCCAUACACUGUACAACCUGAUCACGUUAAGAUGAAUACAGAUGCAACUUCCUGUUGCAGUUGAAAUAAGGAUGAUUCAGGUGGCCUCCUGGGAUCCAAACCCCAAAGCCUGUAGUACAUAAUUAUGUCUCCUAUCUCUAGAGACACCCAGACCAAGCUUCCUGGGAGUAUCUAAGCCCACCCCGCCACUCCAUCACAGACACACAGAAAGUACUCUUCUUACUCUGGGCAUGUCUGAAGGCCCAUCAGUCACCUAAGAAUUGGAGAACUUUCUAGGGGCCUCUGCAUGUGUGACUAUUUUAUAUUCUGCACUUCUAAUCUUGCUUGGUGAAGCUUGUACUGCUGAAAAGCAGCUUAUGUCGCUCUUUUCAAAAUAAAGUCUUUUUUAAAAGUAA